UGGGGAAUAUUGCACAAUGGGGGAAACCCUGAUGCAGCGACGCCGCGUGAGCGAAGAAGGUUUUCGAAUCGUAAAGCUCUGUCCUAUGAGAAGAUAAUGACGGUAUCAUAGGAGGAAGCCCCGGCUAACUACGUGCCAGCAGCCGCGGUAAUACGUAGGGGGCUAGCGUUAUCCGGAUUUACUGGGCGUAAAGGGUGCGUAGGUGGUCCUUCAAGUCGGUGGUUAAAGGCUACGGCUCAACCGUAGUAAGCCGCCGAAACUGGAGGACUUGAGUGCAGGAGAGGAAAGUGGAAUUCCCAGUGUAGCGGUGAAAUGCGUAGAUAUUGGGAGGAACACCAGUAGCGAAGGCGGCUUUCUGGACUGCAACUGACACUGAGGCACGAAAGCGUGGGUAGCAAACAGG
rnacentral:rRNA from 1 species